rnacentral:rRNA from 1 species
GACGAACGCUGGCGGCGUGCUUAACACAUGCAAGUCGAACGGAAAGGCCCUGCUUUUGUGGGGUGCUCGAGUGGCGAACGGGUGAGUAACACGUGAGUAACCUGCCCUUGACUUUGGGAUAACUUCAUGAAACUGGGGCUAAUACCGGAUAGGAGCUCCUGCUGCAUGGUGGGGGUUGGAAAGUUUCGGCGGUUGGGGAGGGACUCGCGGCUUAUCAGCUUGUUGGUGGGGUAGUGUAUUACCAUGGCUUUGACGGGUAGCCGGCCUGAGAGGGUGACCGGCCACAUUGGGACUGAGAUGAGGCCCAGACUCCUACGGGAGGCAGCAGUGGAGAAUAUUGCACAAUGGGCGGAAGCCUGAUGCAGCAACGCCGCGUGCGGGAUGACGGCAUUCGGGUUGUAAACCGCUUUCGCCUGUGACGAAGCGAGAGUGACGGUAAUGGGUAAAGAAGCACCGGCUAACUACGUG